AGCUGUGGAUGACAACGUGGAUACUUGUAGUUUUACACCUAGAACAACAGAUCAACGUUGGUGGCAGGUUCAUCUGGGGGAGGCAACUAAUAUAGAAUAUGUUGCUGUAUCAAUAAGCCCUGGUUCUUACCAACAUUUUACAAUUUUUGUAAUAGAGUUGCUGGAAGGAAAUAAAGCACUUUAUAAACCCUGCAGCAAGUUUGAUGGACAAUAUGAAACCCUACGAGCUGUUUUUUUGUGUAACGAUGGUCUCGGGCACACUGGACAAUUUGUUUAUAUCAGAGAUGAUAGAGAAGAGCAGGAAUAUUUUGGAUUAUGUGAGGUUCAAGUUUUUCCUCUGAAAAGU